GACGAACGCUGGCGGCGCGCCUAACACAUGCAAGUCGAACGAGAGAUGAGGAGCUUGCUCUUCAAAUCGAGUGGCGAACGGGUGAGUAACGCGUGAGGAACCUGCCUCAAAGAGGGGGACAACAGUUGGAAACGACUGCUAAUACCGCAUAAGCCCACGGCUCGGCAUCGAGCAGAGGGAAAAGGAGCAAUCCGCUUUGAGAUGGCCUCGCGUCCGAUUAGCUGGUUGGUGAGGUAACGGCCCACCAAGGCAACGAUCGGUAGCCGGACUGAGAGGUUGAACGGCCACAUUGGGACUGAGANACGG
rnacentral:rRNA from 1 species